rnacentral:rRNA from 1 species
UAAUAGAUACCCAGGUAGUCCCAGCCGUAAACGAUGUCCACCAGGUGCUGGGCGGAUCGACCCGUUCGGUGCCGCAGCUUACGUGAUGAGUGGGACCGCCUGGGGAGUACGGCCGCAAGGUUGAAACUCAAAGGGGAUUGACGGGGGCCCGCACAAGCAGCGGAGUGUGUGGUUUAAUUCGAUGCGACGCGAUGCACCUUACCUGGGCUUGACAUGGAGUUGCACCAGGGGUAACGCCCUGUCCGCUUCGGCGGCGGCUCCACAGGUGCUGCAUGGCUGUCGUCAGCUCGUGCCGUGAGGUGUUGGGUUAAGUCCCCUAACGAGCGCAACCCUCGGGGUCCGUUGUAGUUUUCGGGCCCGACCGCCGCGCGCAACGCGGAGGAAGGUGGGGAUGAUGUCAAGUCAGCACGGCCCUGACGCCCAGGGCGACACACACACUACAAUGGCCGGGACAACGGGUCGCGCUUGCUCGCGAGAGUUGGCCAAUCCCUUAAACCCGGUCUCGAGUUCGGAUGGCAGGCUGCAACUCGCCUG